rnacentral:rRNA from 1 species
UAGGAAUAUUGGACAAUGGGGGAAACCCUGAUCCAGCCAUGCCGCGUGUGUGACGAAGGCCUUAGGGUUGUAAAGCACUUUCGGCUGUGAAGAUAAUGACAGUAGCAGAAGAAGAAGCUCCGGCUAAAUUCGUGCCAGCAGCCGCGGUAAUACGAAUGGAGCGAGCGUUGUUCGGAAUCACUGGGCGUAAAGCGUACGCAGGCGGUCUUGAAAGUCAGGAGUGAAAUCCCAGGGCUCAACCCUGGAAUUGCUUUUGAAGCUCCAAGACUAGAGUACUGGAGAGGUUGGCGGAAUUCCGAGUGUAGCAGUGAAAUGCGUAGAUAUUCGGAGGAACACCGAUGGCGUAGGCAGCCAACUGGACAGUUACUGACGCUCAUGUACGAAAGCGUGGGGAUCAAAC